UACGUAGGGUGCAGGCGUUAAUCGGAAUUACUGGGCGUAAAGCGUGCGCAGGCGGUUUGCUAAGACAGGUGUGAAAUCCCCGGGCUUAACCUGGGAACUGCGCUUGUAACUGGCAAGCUAGAGUGUGGCAGAGGGGGGUGGAAUUCCAGGUGUAGCGGUGAAAUGCGUAGAUAUCAGGAGGAAUACCGAUGGCGAAGGCAGGUCUCUGGGCUGACACUGACGCUCAUGCACGAAAGCGUGGGGAGCAAACAGG
rnacentral:rRNA from 1 species